rnacentral:lncRNA from 1 species
GACAUAAAAGCAUUGUGGUUAGUGUGACAUUCAUGAUGAAGGGUGAGCCAAGAAGGGCGGAUCAAAGAGAUAGAAGUAGGCUUCUGGACAGACAAAACUUCUAAAAGAACAGUGCACAUAAAACCUUAGGUGUAUCCUACAUCACAAUGAGAUAGGAAAGUUAACAGCUUUAUAAGGCCUAUAAAGCAUAAGUUCACAUGGUACUGCAUCGUUGACCUCAAUGAUGCUGUCGCCCACGGGAUAAAUCCGUGAGGCUAGUUAAGCCAAAGCAGAUGAUAGCUGCCUGGUAUCUGGGUCGUCACUGCUAGAGUGCUCUAUUUGUGGUUACAGUUUGUAUAGUCAACAGGUAAAGUCACAAAGUUAAAAAAAAC